CCGCGCGCGCACGCACGCACGCACACACACACAGUGCUGAGAAUGGAGGAGAGAGCGAGGCCUAGCUACACCUGAACGCAGGUGCCCGCCAAGCUGAGCGCCAGGAGCGGGAGGGAUGCAGCCGGAGCUGGGCCAGAGCACAGAGAUCUGCGGGAACACGACCACAGUCACAGGAAAGCAUGGACCCUGAUUGGGGCAAGGGAUGUUUGAAAAGAUGCUGAGUGAAACCAAGGCUCUUCAACUGAAGGAGAAGGAAAAAUUUGGCGGGCCAAAUCCAUAGUUACCAGGAGAACGUAAAAGUGCAGAUCAGGAAGAAAAUUGCUACCCUAUAACUUCCUCACAAGACCUUCUACUGUUCCUGUGCUCAUUCAAUACCUGCUGAAAUCGAAACUGUAUAAAACAUCACUGAAGUCUACUGCAAGAAUUCUCAACACCAUUCAACGACAGUCGCACAGCUGCAGUAUCCAACCCAAGUUCACAGAAAGAAAUGAGAUGCAGUAAGAAACAGAAAAGGCCACAGGCAUUUCAUUGCACCUCUUGGUCAACUAAUGAAGUGAAGACAAAAACAGAAUUACCUGGAAAAACUCAGCAGGUCUGGCAGCAUCGGCGGAGAAGAAAAGAAUUGACGUUUCGAGUCCUCAUGACCCUUCGACAGAAGUGAAGCAUCACUCCUACCAACACUCGUCGAACGUUAAAAAUAAGCUGCUGGGAAGCAGAACUCUAACAUGUUAAAUGCCAUGCUGUGCUAAGCAGACGGAGGUCAAUCUGCUGAGAGGUCUAGUCUGCUUACUAUGCAUUGCCAUGUCAAAUACCAAUGUCAGUCAGCAAUCUGAUAUAAAUGCAACUUUAAUGGAUCCUUACUCUAUCAAUAUUUCUACCAAUACACAAAAUUGCUGCUCCAUCCAGCCCCAACCGUAUAUAAGCAUUUAAGUACAGUGUUUAGAAUCACCCAAUGUACUGCAGAAUCAAUGCACUGUUUAGUUUGAUCUUGGUCUGAUAUCUGAAUAAGGACAGUAUUAGGGGAGCUACAAUUAGACUCAGGCCAUCUGGGUUAGGGAGGGAGGAAUUGGCUGUGGUUCCCGCUCCUAAUCACUAACUAGUGAUCCUGCUGCAAAAACUUUGUAUAUAUGUUGUGUGAAGACAGAGUUAGGGUUCAGCCUCAAUCGUCUCCUCCAACCUGUCAUCAAAUAGCCUGCUGAUACAGUGCCAAAAGAUAACGAUAUCUCGGUUAAGGUCAUGAACGUUGCCCAGCUGUCAAGUAAAGGGAGAAAAAACUUGCACAUUUUGACCUUCCACUGCGACGAAAAAGUAGAUAGUAUUAGAGGCUCCGUUUAGUCAAGUCAAACUGAACCUUCAAUACAAUAAAGUCCCACCAUUCGCAGGGGUUACGUUCUUGGAGAACUUCGCAAACACCGAACAUAUUUUAUAAUGGGAGUCAAUUAGAUAGGUUCGAACCAGUCAAAAAAAUUUCAUAUGUGUAGAGAAUAAAAGGCAAUAAAAACAAUGUUUUUAAUAAAUAUAAAGAUGAGCCGCUGUUAAACAAAAUAAGAAAUAUAUAUUCACCACACUUUCCUUUAUUAUAAGGCUCUCCAGCCGUAUGUGAUGGGCUUGGAGGUGGAGUUGGUGGAGGUUUACUUGAAAGUGGAGAUGAAGGGAGUGGAUGAGGUGGCUGAUGUAGAUGUUGAGCUAAAUGCAGAUUCACAGAAAACUGAGCACUGCUCAGCCUGAUGAAGAGCAAGAUAGCACUACAAAAUGGAGGUGCUCGCCUAAAGGUCCAAACAGCAUCCCACAAAUAGCAGUUAAAGCCAUCUUGGGGAUCAGAGUUCAGGGAGAAGUACUUCAAAUAUCAACAGAAAUGCUAUGCACAGCCUUUCUGCUUCUUUACACCUCAAUCUGCAAGAUCAUAUAAUGGCAUUCUGACCUCCCGCCA